CCGAGUGAUCUAUCCAUGGGCAGGUUGAAGCGAGGGUAAGACCUCGUGGAGGACCGAACCCACCUAGGUUAAAAACUGGGGGGAUGACCUGUGGAUAGGGGGUGAAAAGGCCAAUCAAACUCGGUGAUAGCUGGUUCUCCCCGAAAUGCAUUUAGGUGCAGCGUCGUUUGUUCAGUCAUGGGGGUAGAGCACUGGAUGGGUUAGGGGGCCUACAAGCUUACCGACCCCAACCAAACUCCGAAUACCAUGACUCCAGAGAACGGCAGUGAGACUGCGGGGGAUGAGCUUCGCAGUCGAAAGGGAAACAGCCCAGACCGCCGGCUAAGGCCCCAAAUUCUAGACUAAGUGGAAAACGAUGUGAGAUUGCCCAGACAGCCAGGAGGUUGGCUUAGAAGCAGCCACCCUUGAAAGAGUGCGUAACAGCUCACUGGUCGAGUGAUCUUGCGCGGAUAAUGUAACGGGG
rnacentral:rRNA from 1 species